rfam:Parcubacteria bacterium GW2011_GWA2_46_10 TX29_C0017, whole genome shotgun sequence.
GUGACCAUAGCUUAGUGGUAAAGCUCCGCUCUGUGGCAGCGGCGACGGGGGUUCAAUUCCCCUUGGUCACC